rnacentral:rRNA from 1 species
UACGUAGGGUGCGAGCGUUAAUCGGAAUUACUGGGCGUAAAGCGUGCGCAGGCGGUGCUGUAAGACCGAUGUGAAAUCCCCGGGCUUAACCUGGGAACUGCAUUGGUGACUGCAGCGCUGGAGUAUGGCAGAGGGGGGUGGAAUUCCACGUGUAGCAGUGAAAUGCGUAGAGAUGUGGAGGAACACCGAUGGCGAAGGCAGCCCCCUGGGCCAAUACUGACGCUCAUGCACGAAAGCGUGGGGAGCAAACGGG